AUUAUCCAUUACGAAUUACUUGAACGGAACCAAACUUUCAACGCGAGACUCUAUGUUCAACAGAUGCAACGACUCAACAUGGCUAUUCAAAAGAAAAGACCUAAUGGGCGGGCAUGGAGUUCUUCUGCUGCACGACAACGCCCGACCUCAUAUCGCCAAUACGACCAGACCAAGGAUGUCAUUCAAACUCAUGACUGGAAAGUGCUGCGACACCCGCUGAGCUCUCCUGAUUUGGCACCAACGAAUUUCCACCUCUUUCGAUCUCUGUCAAAUGCUAUGCGCGGAGUUUCGUUCAAUACUGAUUGGAUCCAAUUUUUCUAGUCGAAGUCGAGGAAUUUCUAUCAACGAGAUAUUGAGAAUCUUUUUGAAACUUGGAAAGAAGUUGUAAACAAGGGUGAAUACAUUAUUGAUUAAUUAGUUGUUUCCUUUUUAUUAAAUCAUUUAAACAUUUUAAAUACAAAAAAAUAAUCGGAGGGAACUUAGUUGCCAACCCAAUAUUUUGAAUGUAGUCAAUAUGUAGCUUCCAGAUAAUUGCGCUAAAAUCAAAAAGGGAAUUUCAUGUAAUAUGCAGAAUUCUGCUCAAUUAAGAAAUAUAUAUACACACACACACACACAUAUAUAUAUAUAUAUAUAUAUAUAUAUAUAUAUAUAUAUAUUGAUAUGUCUUAAGGAAGAUGAAAUAUUCGAUUCUGCAAUUCGUAACUAUUUGAAACGUACGUAUUAAAUACAUUCAACAUAUAUGUAUGUAUUAUGUGUUCAUGUAUGUAUGCAUACAUGCCUGUUUGUACGUACAUACAUAUGUGCAUACAUAUGUGUGUGUGUGCAUGUGUGUGUGUAUGUGUGUGUGUAUUCCCGACAACACUGAGAAGACCGAAAGAAAUGCUUUGAUGGAUAAUUCUUAAUAUCGAAAUAAUAGCUAGGAAGGUAGCCAGUGACUGAGAUAUAUAGGAUAGAUAAUAAUCACACAAGAAGCUAAUUAUAACAAUCACGAACGAGACAGAUAACAUCUGCAAAAAAAAAAGAAUCUUCUACAUUAAUUAACCCAGCCUUCGUAAGUAGGAUAACAUUUAAUUGUAUAUGUGUGUGUGUGUGUACAUAUAGAUAAAGACAGAGAGCCAGACAGAUAGAUAGAGAGAGUCAACCAGACAGAGAGAAGAGAAGGUUAUGCAUUUACUCACAUGUAAUACUAAUGAACUCAUCGAUGUCCAAUUAAUUCAACACUUCUAUUCCAGGCCAGCACAUUUCUCUAUGGGAACUGUUUUGUAAUAUUCUGAGGCCAAGUUGUACAUAUAUGCCAUAUUAAACAUAACACAUAUAAUGCGCUUACAUUGUUUUAUGCGUUUAAGAUUUCAUAUAUAGUUUUACCAAAUGGUUGCUAACGUUUUGUAACAGCGAGUUCCUCCCAUAAGAUCGUCGGCUCUUGCUAAAAAUUUGAAAUCAUCUUCUUGAUAAGACACGCUGGCAUAAUUGUUAGCGUCCCCGGCAAAGAAAAAAAAAAUAGCAGCAUUUCUUCUGUCUUUUUGUUCUGAGUUCGAAUGACGCUGAGGUCAAAUUUGCCUUUCAAAUUUUUCAAGAUCGAUAAAAUACGCACGAUAACAGAAUAAGCCUAUAACAGAAAAGAAUAUUUUGUUGGAUUAAAAUAGAUGUAUUUACCAAAGUCUUCUUUAAUAAUAGAAAUUAUAUCGUUGAAUAUGAUCCUAUUUACAAUGUUUGAGUUAAUUAACGUAGUAGAUUCUUUUUGCGAAUGUUUUCUGCCACGUCCUUGAUUGUUAUAAUUAGGUUCUUGUGCGAUUUUUAUCUAACAUAUAUCUCAGUCAGUGGCUAUUUUCAAGUCUUCUAUUUCAAUCUUGAUAGUUAUCUUACAAAGCAUUACUUGUAUGUUUCGUUGAUGUUGACCUGAAGACACACAUACAAGCACACACAAACACACACACAGUCACACAGUCACGCAUAAAACUAUAUAUAUAUAUACGUGUGUCUGUGCGUCUAGGUUUGUGUGUCUGUGUUUGUCACCACUUCAUCGCUUGGCAACCGAUAGAAUAAGCGCUAGGUUUACAAAGAAUAAGUCCUGAGGUCCACUUGUUCGACUACAGAAUAUACAUAUAUAUAUAUAUAUGCAGUUUCUUCGCCAAGAAUCUCCUACUACAACAUCGAGCAGACCAAAGCCUUGAGUGGAUUUGGUAGACGGAAAAGGAAAGAAGCCCGUCUAAUGUAUGUAUAUAUGCAUUUGUGUAUAUGUGUUUGUUCUCCUACCAACAUUUGACAACCGGUGGUGGUGUGUUUACGAUACCGUAACCUAGCGGUUCGACAAAAUGGACGGAUAGAAUAAGUAUUACUCUUACAAAGAAUAAGUCCUGGGAUAGAUUUGUUCGACUAAUGGUGGUGCUCCAUCUUGGCCGCAGUCAAACAACUGAAACAAGUAAAUGAAUAAAAGAAUAUACAUAUAAGUCGGUACUCCAACAUGGCCGCAAUCAAACGAGUGAAACAAGUAAAAUAAUAUAUAUAUAUAUAUAUUUAUAUAUAUAAACUAAAUCACAAAAGAAACGUCACGAUUACUAAGUAGACACCGGUAUAUUAACAGACUGCCAUGGCAUUGAUUGAAGAGCGCUAGUUAAAGAAACGAGCUUUCUUAAUGAUAAAACGUCAUUUCCUGAAAUAUUUGUGACGUCCUGGAUCCAAAGUGAUGACCACCGUUUGCGUUGAUUACACCCCGACAUCUUCUGUAAAUUGAAUGCACUAAACGAUAACUGAAAGCCGUGAGAAUAUCAGCGCGAACUCUCUUAAAACUUGAAGAGUUGUGCCGCAGCUGUUGGCCUUAGCCGGAUGUCAUUUAACCCUAGGGGAUUCAAGUCCACACUUAAGGUAGGCAUUGCCUGUGUCUGGAUAUUGUGCUGCUGGAGGAAUUCUGUUGUCAAUCUGCCAGCAUGGGCACGGCCAUUGUCGUGUUAGAACACGUGAUUCCGAUGACGGACAAAGUAUGACAUAAUGUGAGAUCUCAACACUUGGUCGAUAUAGCGAGCAGCGGUUAUUCAAUUGUUCCAGCCUUGGCCAAUGUUUUGGAAGACCAAGAUUCUGAUUAAGUGCAAUCCCACUCCAUAUCAUGAUACUCUCUAAUCCCCUUGAGUCCCUCUCCACCACACAGUCAUCGGCAUGACAUUCCCCAUUUUUCUCCAAACCCUAGCUCUGCCAUCUGCCACAGAAAUGCAAUAUCGUGAUUCGUUAGUGAAGACUGCAGUCCUCCACUGCUGAUGUCACUAUUUCAGACGUUUUUGAGCCCACCGAAGACGUACCGUUCUAUCACGAUUUGUAAGAAUGCGGUUCCUAGCUGGACGUCGACAAGACAGAUUAAAUGAUCUCAGCCGGAGGCGAACUGUCUCUGCAUAAAUGGGUCAGUGCUGAGUCACUAUGGUCUGCCCAGCUGAUUCCCUCUCCCUCUGGAAUUGCUGUCGGUACAGGUGGCGAUUUUGACGUGUAGUUGUAACACUCGGUGGACGAUCAUCCGUGCUGUUUCUGGCAUUGUAUCGUUCCCUCAGCCUCUCUAUUGUUCGAAUACUGCAGUUCAUUAGUAAUGACCCAUGGGCAUUGACCAGUAAGUAGAUGUUCAAUGGCUCAUCUCACUGAUGUCGUGUUAGUCUUGGCAUGCUUACUGACUCCGAUAAACGAAUGACAGGCUGAUAAAUUUGGGUGCCUUUUAUAACCAAUGAGUGAAAGUGCAUCAGGAUUUUCAUAAAGAUGCAUUCGCGAGCGUUACCCUGUUGACGAAAAGUAAGUGAUUUUCAUCCCUACAUGCAAUCCUUGUGUUUACAAACGAGGGUCAGUGACAUAUUCCUAAUGUAACGUUACCUAGAAAUGUGAUAGAAUCCAUAUAGUUUCAAUAUCGUGUGUGAAACUAAUAUUAGUUAAAAUUCUGACGACCUCUUUUACUUAGCAUAGAUAUGUAUGUGUGCACGCGUGUGUUCUUGUGACUGUAUGUGUGCGAAUGUGUGUCAUUGAGUUUUUAUAAGUUCCUCAGUAAAAAUGUGACGAACAGCAUUGACUUCUUUACUUCACCGUUAGCAAUUCGGCAAAAGAGACUGAAAAUUAAAUACCAAUCCAGUAGAAAAAUAAAAAUAGUAGUAUUGUGGAUGUGUUCAAUGAAUCCUUCAAAGCGGAGCACCGGUGUGGCUCCAUUUCAAUAAAUAAACCAAUAUAUAUAUAAAUUGAGCUGAAGUUUUUUCCCGUGAUUUGGUUGCAAAAUAUGCCUAUAGAUUUCAACGGCAUUUCUUGUGGAUUUUACAUGAUACAUGUUGUCAUUUUCCUGGAAGUCGACAAUACGUAAAACAAUUCCGAUUCUCAGAAACAUGGUAGUUCCUAAUUUUGGUGUUGUACCAUGCACAUCAAUUACUACAGGGGCAGUAUACAGAAAUGUGUUUUGCAAUCUCUUCAUCUAUAUGUUCUCAUGCAUUUCACUCUCAUCAGUUUUCUUCACAUCCACUCUACUACCAUAUGGAAUUGGACGGUCAUUGAUGUUGCGCUAUUUUUUUCAUUCUCACUUUCAUUAUCAUAUUUGCUCUCCUUGCUUCAACAAUCUCUGGAGGAAACCUAUACAUUCCUGUGAUUUUCAUUCAUCAGAACAAAGUAGGGCUCGUGUUCAUCCUACUUUUCCACCACUUUAAAUCUAGAGAAUGAACUAAUAUCUUAACAUUCUCUUUUACUCACGCACUCAUCCCCCAUUCAUACACAAGUUAUGCACGCUUGGUUCAGCUGAAUAGAACGUCGUUACUUUAAACUCAUUUGUUACGCAUUCUUAAUUUGCUCCUUAUCUAAUUUUUAUCACACAUUGUUCUUAUCAUUGGAAUUCUAAUAGCUUGUUUCUGAGCGUUUUUUAAUUAGGGAUUCAGUUUCUCAUCUCAGCUUUUCAUUUGUCAGCCGUAACCAGUGCUCUUUAUUUCAGUUUACGCGCUUUCUUGUCUGAACUGGCCUAAUACUUCCGCCCCGCCAUCCUUUUUUACUGUUGAGAUCAUUAUUUUAGAGACUCAAUCAAUAUUUCUAUUCACAUAUAAUAGUAUUUCCUUUCUCCACAUACCUGAUUAUAAUCUUUGCAAAAACACAAAUCGAAGACUUGCUGUUGUCUUCUGCAAUUAACACACCCGUGCAUCCUUCCAGUCUCGGUAAAAACACUCUGUCUAAAGAACAGUUAGUAUUGUUUGCCUUAUGCACUAUGAGCAAAUUGCUACUUCCAUACAAAUUCUUUAACUUUAAAACAGAAGUGGAGUAUAUCAACAUUGACAGGAACUUCAUAUUGAUUGCCUUGAUGAUAUUACAUCACGUUUAUUAUGUUUCAAGUAUCUUCGUAACAUCUUUCUUCCAAGCUCUAGAGAAUAUCUCUCACAUUUGCGAUUCUGUUACCUAAUCAUCUUAUGUGUGUUCAUGUCCUUGUGUAGUAGGUGUACAUAGGUGUGUGUGUAUAUUCAUAUAUAUAUAUAUAUAUAUAUAUAUAUAUAGAUAGAUAGAUAGAUAGAUAGAUAGAUAUAUAUAUAGAUACAUAUAUAUAUACACUCAUACAUACAAACACACAUAUAUAUACAUAUAUAUAUGUAUAUAUAUAUAUAUGUAUAUAUAUAUAUAUAUAUAUAUACAUACAUAUAUAUCUGUAUAUAUAAUAUAUAUAUAUAGAUAUAGACACUCACAAAUAUAUAUAUAUAUAUAUAUAUAUAUAUAUAUAUAUAUAUAUGUAUUAUGUAUGUAUGUAUACAAUGUUUAUGUUUACCUGAAGAAUUGCAUUUUGUUUAGGAUAUUAUUUCACGCAGGGACUAACUUUAAGUAUAUUGAAGCGUUUGCCCCUUACUGGUCUUAGACGCCAAGAUCGUUUUUGUGAAUUAUUUCCAUUAUAUUUUUUGUCUUACACUAAAUGAAACAUGGAUUUUUCUCUUUCGUAAUCCACACCUAAGGAAAAUCAUAUUGCACAACAUAAAAUAGCCACCAAAAAUAUUAAUGAACGCACGAACAAGCAAAUGACAGAAAAAUAAAUAAAUAAAAAAAUCCACUUCCAUAUAAAGCAAAGAAAAUGAAUAUGUUUGGCAAUAACAUUAUCAACGGGUUGUAUGUGCUUCGACAACCGCAAAAUUCUCUUUCAUAAAAGUUCUUAUCAGCAAGAAAAGCGAAAUUUGCUUUAGAAAUAGCUUGAAAACUGUGAACCAGAGAAACACCAGUCUCGCAAAACCUAUCACUUGUGAUCACACGAAGAAGAGCUGACCAACCUAUGCCUUUUUCAAACCAUGAAUGCUCAUUUUUUUCCAGUUAAGGAAUACUCUACAAACACGAUGGUGCCGUACGCUAUGCCUACUCUUAGAUGCUUGUUGUACGGCGAAACUGGCAGCAAUGCUCGGGUAUUUUACGAGCAGGAGUAGACCUGCUCGUACCACACCCGAGCAUUUCCGCCAUGUGGAGUUAUGUUGAACAGCCGCUAACACGUGUAUGACAAAUUCAUCGCAAAGAUUUCCCCACGCCUUCCUUUGGUCAGAAAAUGUAGGCAGCGUACCGCUUCUACUGAUAUGGAGAAAGAGGUUGUAUUGGGCACGCAACCUAAAAUACUAACGACAGGCUAUUCCGUUGACGGCCAAGUCCUCAUCGACUUUUUUUAACAUCCCGUUUGGAAAGGACGUAUGCGCUGCCCCACGCAUUAAUAUCAUCAAAGGUAGAUGAAUGUGGCGAAGAUUGUCCGUCUGAGUGGGUCUGUUCAAAGUUGGCGCUUGUAGGCUGAGGAGUAAGAAGAAGAGAAAAGCUCUUACCAUGACACUGCAGAUGAGUCGAGAGGAUAGAAUGGAGUUUCCCCCUUAUUUAGAAAUUCGUUCGCUAGCAAGGGUUUUCUUAAUUGUGGUGCGACUUUUUUCUGCUGACUUACGUGAAUGAACAGUUCCUUGGUCAGUGUAUUUCAUACAUAUUUAGCGCCUCCCAUUUUCAUUAUUAAUAAUAUUAUUAUCAGUAGUAGUAGCAGUAGUUGUAGUAGUAUUAGUAAUACCAGAAGCAGCAGCAGCAGUACUAGGUAGCAGCAGUAGUAGUAGUAGUAGUAGUAGUAGUAGUAGUAGUAGUAGUAGUAGUAGUAGUAGUAGUAGUAGUAGCAGCAGUAGUGUUGUCGCCUUUGUUGUUGCUUUUCGUCAAUCGACGCAUAUUUCACAUCACACCCGUCAGUUUAUAAAUGUGUAACUAUUGCUCAAACUUAUUUAUUGUACAUUUGAUAUCCUUAUAUAGAAAAACUAACUGGGGCCUGUUAGUAUGUUACUUUUUCUCCAUUUGUCGCCUUUAGGGAGGUAUAAGGGUGUUUGUUUAAAAAGGAAAGGCGGCGAACGAGUAUUUUUCACUAAGUCACUAAGUUUAGAUAAGGUGGUUGUCAGUGAGACAUUCCCAUAUAUGGUUAAUACGAUAUUUUUUUAUCUUCCAAUCAACCGGGAAUGGGAUCGGGUGGAUCUGUGUGUUGUUCAGAAGAGCGCUGUAUGUCAAGAUAAGGGCCAUCUUCAUGAAACCAGAAUGUAAGAUAGUGACACUGGAUGUGAACAGUAGCGAUGAAGGCGCUUUUAGACCUUUGGCCGUUAAUGCUCUGACAAGGGAAGACCAGCCGGAUUCCUCCAAACAUCUGGAAGUUUUUCUGAGAACCUCUCGACCUUUAGUGCCAAGGUAUGACAUGGACGCUAUCUAGGAUGCACGCUUAGAUUGCGAAGGCCUAGCAGUUAGUUGAGUGGGGUGCAAAAGCCAAGCAAGUUUGCUCAGACAAAUUGCGAAAUGCCGAUCAUCUGGUCUGGAUAAUCUUUACUUUUAUAUGCCAAACUUGAUUGGCGGCUCUUGACAGCUAUCUACAGCUGCUGGCAGCAGGGCGGACAAUUUCCGACAACUGUGAGAUAAGGUGCGGUGGAACUAUCAUUUUCGAUGAUGACUUCUAGUUUAAGUUCAUGCCACUUUUUUUUGCUCUGUCAACUCCAUACUUGUUGCAAAGUGUCCAAUGGACGAUUCUUGCUAUAUUGUCAUGACGUCUCUUAUAUUCUUUCUAGAAUAGUGGUAUACAUUGACUGGUAAUAUGCCAUACAGUUUCACUAUUUUGUCCUCUGAUAUUGCCCUUAUCACUUUCUGAUGUAUUGUCUAUUCUGUAUUUUCUGUAAUUCGUUCUUAGUGCUUGCUCUUGGGUAGCAGAGAUUAGAGCCUUCGUUUCUAGUUUUAAAUAACUUUUAGUCAUCCAUAGCCAUCAUUUUCUCUCUCUGUCUUAUCGUCAACAUCCCUAUGAAAUUCUCCAUGCAUUCUUUUCUUUAUCCACCUAUUUCACACUUCAAAUCGUCGUAGUUGUCCAGUUUUCUUCUUCUUUCUCUUUGAUCUUGUUUUCACCGGAACAUGCUAUGUCUGUACAUUUUAUUUACCACAAUAAUGUCUGGUUUCUGAAGUCUGCUCACGAGAUCGCACUGAUUCUUUGCACCCCACUGGAUUUUGCAGUCUUCAUUGCCGCUGACUCCUUUGGGGUUUGCUCGUACCAUGAUUUCCACAAAAUUUCCAAUGGAUUUUUAUGCCACAUUAUCAUAUUGUCUUUAUUACUAUUAUCAUCACCAUCAUCAUCAUUAUUAUUAUUAUUAUUAUUAUUAUUAUUAUCAUUAUUAUUAUUAUUACUAUUAUUAUUAUUAUUAUUAUUAUUAUUGUUAUUGUUAUUGUUAUUAUUGUUGUUGGUGCCAUUUUUACUAUUGUUAUUUUGUUGAUGUCGCUGUUGUUUCUGUUGUUUGAAGUGGUAACUAGUAGCAGACUUACCGAGUCAGAUAAAGUUCUUAGCACUAUUUCUUCCGUCCUCUUUACGUUCUAAGUUCAAAUACCAACGAGGUCAGCUUUUCUUUUCAUCAUUUCAGGAACGAUGAUAUAAAAUUCCAGUCAUAAACUGGGCCGAUGUAAUCAAAUUACACUCUUCUCUAAAAUGAGUCGAAAUGUGUAACGUUUAAUAUCAUUAUUACGUUUAAUCAGGUAGCGAGAUGGUGGAAUCGUUAGCACGCCGAGUGAGAUGCUCAGCGGUAUUUCGUCUGCCGUUACGUUCUGAGUUCAAAUGCUGCUAAGGUCAAGUUUGCCUUUCAUCCUUUCGGGGUCGAUAAAUUAAGUACCAUUUAUACACUGGGGUCGAUGUAAUCGACUAUCCAAAUUUCAGGCCUUGUGCCUAUAGUAGAAAGGAUUAUUAUUAGGUUUAGUAAUUCUUUCUUACUCAUCAUCAUUAUAGUUUACAUACCCUAAAUGAAUAAUGAAAAGAGUGGAUGUAUUUCUUUGUUUGUGUGUGUGUGUUUGUGCAUGUGUGUGUAAACCCAUCAUCUGAGAAGAUUACUAUUUUGUCCUUAAUCAAAUUUCAUAUGUCAUUUUCCAUUGAUUAAGCAAUAAUUCGCUUGUUUAUCUCCCUUGCCAAUCAUCGCUCAAUUAUUGUUCGUCUAUUUCUUGAACACUUACAUUGAUCUACACAUCCAUAGAUCAGAAAUAUUUUCAUAACGAAUCGUAAUGAAAUAACCUACUAUGGAUUGGUGGUGUAAAUAAAGAGCGAAGUAGCAAUUAAUGCAAAAUCCAACCGGUCGUAUGGCGUUCUUUUCGAGUUGUUGAUUCGAUAUAAGCGCAGAUAUUGACGAUUUGAGAUACGCAUUUGGACACAUAAUUCAGAUUGAGAAGGGCAAGUUCGCAUAAAUAUAUACAUACAUCCAUACACACACACACCCAUAUAUAUAUAUACAUAUAUAAACGCAUAUAUAUACAUAAUAUAUACAUAUUUACAUAUAUAUAUAUAUAUAUAUUUAUAUAUAUAUACAUAUAUAUAUAUACAAACAUAUAUAUAUAUGCAUAUGCAUAUAUACAUAUAUAUAUAUAUAUAUAUAUAUAUAUAUAUAUAUAUAUAAUACAUAUAUAUAUAUAUAUAUAUAUAUAUAUAUGCAUAUAUACAUAUAUAUAUAUAAAUAUAUAUAUAUAUGCAUAAAUAUAUAUAUAUAUAUAUAUAUAUAUAUAUAUAUAUAUAUAUACAUAUAUAUAUAUAUAUAUAUAUAUAUAUAUAUAUAUAUAUGUACAUAUACAUAUAUAUAUAUAUACACACAUACAUAUGUAUAUAUAUAUAUAUAUAUAUAUAUAUAUGUAUGUGUGUACGUAUGUAUGUAUGCAUGUAUGUAAGUACGUAUGUGUGUAUGUGUGUAGGUAAGCAUGCACAGAUGAAUAAUAUUAAAUUCUUGUCGUAGCACUAAGGAAAUAAUUAACUGAUAGCAUAUUGUUGCUUAUAUAUUGGAUUUUGCAAUUUUAUCAUUGCAAAAGGCAUCAGCAACAUACAAAGAGCAGCAGAAUCGGGGUGGGAGGUAAUCGGUGGUAGCAGUGGCAGUAGCAGCGAUGGCGGGAGGCGGCGAUGAUAGCAGCAGUGGAGAUGAUAGCUGAGUCGAUGAUGGUGUUGCCAGCGGCGAUGCUGCUCUUGAUUGAGUGGUGGUGGUGUCGGUGGUGGUGGUGUUUGUGGUGGUGGUGGCUUCGGUGGUUGCAGCAUUGGCAAUAGCUGAAGCCAAAGUGUUGUUGGUAGGAGCUAUGUGGUCGCUAUGAUGUUACGUCUGUUGCUUACAACACAAUUACAGUAGUUGCAGAAUCGACUGUAUUACCAUGAAAUGAAAGUCUUACAAGAUCACAGACUGUAAUCACUUGUAGAUCAAAAGUUUUAAUGGACUCUGCUAUGUAUUCUCUAUUUGCUAGUAGUUUCCAGUUUUGGUAGCGAUAUGCUGUUCAGUAGAUAUUUGCUAUACAGUAGUGUUAUGCUGACUAAUUCUUUGCUGCUCAGUGGACUAGCGUAUUCAGAGUUGAGGUUUCACCAAUAACAAAAUGGGUAAUAUUCAGAAUAAGAGAUAACAGUCAUUAUAUAUUUAUUUUUUUCAGUGUCUUUUCUUCUUUUAUUCUUUUAGCUUUUGUGUGUAUCUUCGAAAAGUGUAUAAAAUGUACGUCAGCGAACGUUCGUUGUUGUGGUAGGUCAUAAGUAUAACGCAUUAAAUUUAAUCAAUAUUUAGAUUGUAAUUAUUCUCCGUUCAUCAAAACAUCAAAGGUCAACUGUGACAUCGCUGAUGAUUGUGUAAUAACUAUGCUUGCAUCAAAUCUCAAAUAUAAUUUCUAUUGAAAAACCAUCGUGUUCAAUAUCGAUAAACAAAUAAUCAUAAGAUGGAUCAUAGUUUAGAUAUCAUCUGAGAAUAAAAGAAACAAAAUUAUUCAGAAGCAAAGCAAAAUCAUAUGAAUCCUAUUGCUCAACGCUACUCACAGGAGAGAUAUGACUAUUGUAAAGAUGGCGGCUAAAUUGGUAUGUUCAAUAAAUUUCAGAUAGUGUUAAAAUUUUAAACAUACCCAUGGCGAAGGAAAAUAUUUAUAUGGAUGGAAUUUCUAUUUCAUCCUCUUAUAAAUAAGCAGCAGGGAUGAAAUGAUAUUAGUUGGAACUGGUAAUUGUCGGUUUUAUAACCAGUUUUAUAGUCAAUUAACUACAAGAGUCGGAAUGUUUCUAUUCGUUUUGCAGAGACUAUCAAUAGAAAUUUGGUGUUCAACUUAGCGCAGUUAUUAAAUUCAACAAUUGUUUCGAGACAACGUUUAUGAGAGUAGUCACUCAAAACGAUCCAACUCAGUACAUUAGAAGCAAUAUAUUUAUUGACCGAAAGAAUAGAAGACAAAGUUUAUGUCGGCGAAAUUUGAAGUCACUGGUAAAACAAAUAAAAUAAAGCGUGUCUUCCGGUGCCCUAACGGUUUUGGCAAUACAACGCCCUCAUCUGAACUCAAUAAAACUAUAUCCUGAUUGUCUUACUUUGAAUGUUAGGGAAAUGUCCCUAUAUACAUAAAGUCCCACCUUUAUAUAUAACUAUAUAUACCGAGAGAGAGAGAGAGAGACAGACAGACAGACAGAGACAGACAGACAGACAGACAGACAGAGAAAGAGAAAGAGAGACACAGACGGACAUCGACUCUGACAGACAGGCAGAUAAACAGACGCAUAUGGACUAGGGCUAUGCUUGGGCACCCAUUUUGUAUUUUUUGCAAGACUGAGACUUACUCUAUAGGUCAUUUAUGCUGUACCACCUGGUUACGGGUACAUGAACAUACUGAUUGACACCCGGUAGUGGUGGCAAACACAAACAUACACGUAAAUAGAAAUAUACAAGUCGACGCUCUCACACACACACACACGUAUGUGUGUGACUAGACCUCUUAAUUAUGGAAGACUUUACACACAUUAUUGUGUGAAUAGGAGGUGCAUAUAUCCCCAAAUCGAUCGGAAUGGAAGACAAAGUGAUAUUGCUGCUUCGAGGAAUAUGGAUAUCACGAUACAGAAUAUAUUCAGGGAACUAAAAGGCAGAUGGUCCUCCCAGACUGGAAGAAUAGCGCAGGUGGUGCUUUCAGUUUAGUAGCUACCUAGGCACCGAUAUGGGUAGGGUAACCAGAUAUUUCCACGAGUAUUGAGGCUUUCUUCAGAUAUUUCCGCUCUUUUAGUGCUUGAAGGUGGCUGGAACGCCGUCCUGUGCACA
rnacentral:lncRNA from 1 species